rnacentral:rRNA from 1 species
UAGUACGGCGAGUGAAGAGGGAAAAGCUCAAAGUUGGAACCUGGUAGGCAUAGCUUACCCGGAUUGUAAACUAAAGUUUUCGAGUCGUUUAGUCAGCCAGGUAAAUAAGUCCUCUGGAAAGGGGCGACAUAGAGGGUGAAAUCCCCGUCUUUGGCCUGAGUUUUGAUUAGGCGUUUGGCUUGGAAACGAAGAGUCAGGUUGUUUGGGAAUGCAGCCUAAAAUGGGAGGUAAAUCUCUCCUAAAGCUAAAUAUUGACGAAAGACCGAUAGCGAACAAGUACCGUGAGGGAAAGAUGAAAAGCACUUUGAAAAGAGGGUCAAAAAGUACGUGAAAUUGCUGAAAGGGAACCGUAUGAAAUCAGAUCUACUGGUAGGUAAUCAAUCUUUCCUUUGGGAAGGAUGCACUUGCCUACUAUGUAUGCCAGCGACAUUUUGGUUGGGAGGAAAAAAAUAAAGGAAAUGUAGCUUAGGUUUCGGCUUAGGUGUUAUAGUCCUUUAUAAAAUACUCUCGGCUGGAAUGAGGAACGCAGCAAACCGUAAGGCGAAGAUUUCAGGCGCUUAGAGGGAAUAAUUAGAGAAUUUCUGCUUCGGGUGGUGCUUUGAUUAUUACCUUUAACACGCUUGGAGUUCUUUUAAUUU